rnacentral:misc_RNA from 1 species
UCCGGUUUGUCACCGGCAGUCUCCCUAGAGUUCCCGAAGGAGGGCCCCUGUUUCCAGGGGCUUUCACGUGCAUGUCAAGCCCAGGUAAGGUUCUUCGCGUUGCUUCGAAUUAAACCACAUGCUCCACCGCUUGUGCGGGCCCCCGUCAAUUCCUUUGAGUUUCAGCCUUGCGGCCGUACUCCCCAGGCGGGGCACUUAAUGCGUUAGCUCCGACACCGAAUGCGUCUAUACACCCGGCAUCUAGUGCCCAUCGUUUACGGCGUGGACUAC